rnacentral:snRNA from 1 species
GAGAUUUGCAAAACUACCUUU